rnacentral:rRNA from 1 species
ACGGGUGAGUAACGCGUGGGAACAUACCUUUUGGUUCGGAACAACACAGGGAAACUUGUGCUAAUACCGGAUAAGCCCUUACGGGGAAAGAUUUAUCGCCGAAAGAUUGGCCCGCGUCUGAUUAGCUAGUUGGUGAGGUAAUGGCUCACCAAGGCGACGAUCAGUAGCUGGUCUGAGAGGAUGAUCAGCCACAUUGGGACUGAGACACGGCCCAAACUCCUACGGGAGGCAGCAGUGGGGAAUAUUGGACAAUGGGGGCAACCCUGAUCCAGCCAUGCCGCGUGAGUGAUGAAGGCCCUAGGGUUGUAAAGCUCUUUUGUGCGGGAAGAUAAUGACGGUACCGCAAGAAUAAGCCCCGGCUAACUUCGUGCCAGCAGCCGCGGUAAUACGAAGGGGGCUAGCGUUGCUCGGAAUCACUGGGCGUAAAGGGUGCGUAGGCGGGUCUUUAAGUCAGGGGUGAAAUCCUGGAGCUCAACUCCAGAACUGCCUUUGAUACUGAAGAUCUUGAGUCCGGGAGAGGUGAGUGGAACUGCGAGUGUAGAGGUGAAAUUCGUAGA